GACGAACGCUGGCGGCGUGCCUAAUACAUGCAAGUUGAGCGCUGAAGGUUGGUACUUGUACCCACUGGAUGAGCAGCGAACGGGUGAGUAACGCGUGGGGAAUCUGCCUUUGGGCGGGGGACAACAUUUGGAAACGAAUGCUAAUACCGCAUAAAAACUUUAAACACAAGUUUUAAGUUUGAAAGAUGCAAUUGCAUCACUCAAAGAUGAUCCCGCGUUGUAUUAGCUAGUUGGUGAGGUAAAGGCUCACCAAGGCGAUGAUACAUAGCCGACCUGAGAGGGUGAUCGGCCACAUUGGGACUGAGACACGGCCCAAACUCCUACGGGAGGCAGCAGUAGGGAAUCUUCGGCAAUGGACGAAAGGCUGACCGAGCAACGCCGCGGGAGGGAAGAAGGGUUUCGGAUCGUAAAACUCUGUUGGUAGAGAAGAACGUUGGUGAGAGUGGAAAGCUCAUCAAGUGACGGUAACUACCCAGAAAGGGACGGCUAACUACGUG
rnacentral:rRNA from 1 species